rnacentral:tRNA from 1 species
UGACGUGUAGCUUAAUUGGAUAAAGCACUCGGCUUUUAACCGAGGUUAUGUAGGUUCAAGCCCUACUACGUCAA